rnacentral:ncRNA from 1 species
AAAAACAUAAACUUAAUAAUAAUUUAGUGAUCUUAGGUGUAAUUUACCCUUAAAUCAAAAAAGAUACUUUGUUGAAAUAAGAUUUAAUAUGAAUUGAACAAUGACGGUAUUUGGGGAAUAAGCAUCAGUUAACUCUGUGCCAGUAGCUGCAGUAAUACAGAUAAUGCAAGAGUUAUCUGCAAUGAUUGGGCGUAAAGUGUCUGUAGGUGGCUUUUUAUGUCUGCCAUCAAAUCCCAAGGCUCAACCCUGGACAAGUGGUGAAAACUUCGAAGCUGGAGUACAGUAGGGGUAGAGGGAAUUUUCGGUGGAGCGGUGAAAUACGUAGAGAUUAAAGAACACCAACGGAAAAAGUACUCUACUGGGUUGACACUGACACUGAGAGACUAAAGCCAGGGGAGCAAAUGGGAUUAGAUACCCGAAUAGUCCUAGCCGUAAAUGAUGGAUACUAGGCACUAUGCGUAUCGACCCAUGUAGUGCUGUAGCUAAUGCAUUAAGUAUCCUGCUUGGGGAGUAUGUUAACAAGAAUGAAACUAAAAGGAAUUGACAGGGGCCCAUACAAGCGGUAGAGCAUGUGGUUUAAUUCGAUGUAAAGAGAAGAACCUUACCAGGGCUUGACAUGCCGCGAAUCCUCUUGAAAGAGAGAGGUGCCUUCGGGAACGCGGACAUAGGUGGUGCAUAGCUAUCGUUAGCUCGUGUCGUAAGGUGUUUGGUUAAGUCUCGCAACAAGCACAAUCCUCGUGUUUGGUUGCCACCGCUGAGUUUGGAACCCUGAGCAGACUACCGGUGAUAAGCCAGAGGAAGGUAAGGAUAACGUCAAGUUAUCAUGCCCCUUAUGCCUUGGGUGACACACGUGCUACAAUAGACGAGACAAAGGGUCGCAAUCCCGCGAGAGUGAGCUAACUCCAAAAACCCAUCUUCAAUUCGAAUUGUAGGCUAUAACUCGCUUGCAUAAAGUAGAAAUCGCUAGUAAUCACCGGUCAACCAUACGACAAUGAAUUCAUUCCCGGGCCUUGUACACAUUACCUAUUAAACUAUAGGAGCAAGCUAUGCCUAAAGUCGCUACCUUAACCACAAUGAGGGGAAUGCGGAAGGCAGGGCUAGUGACUAGAGUGAAGUCGUAACAAGGUAGUCGUACUGGAAGGUGUGGCUGGAUCACCUUCUUU